rnacentral:rRNA from 1 species
ACAGCAGCAGCCGCGGUAAAACGGAGGGUGCAAGCGUUAAUCGGAAUUACUGGGCGUAAAGCGCACGCAGGCGGUCUGACAAGUCAGAUGUGAAAUCCCCGGGCUUAACCUGGGAACUGCAUUUGAAACUGUCAGGCUGGAGUCUUGUAGAGGGGGGUGGAAUUCCAGGUGUAGCGGUGAAAUGCGUAGAGAUCUGGAGGAAUACCGGUGGCGAAGGCGGCCCCCUGGACAAAGACUGACGCUCAGGUGCGAAAGCGUGGGGAGCAAACAGGAUUAGAUACCCGAGUAGUCCCUGUCUCUUAUAC